rnacentral:rRNA from 1 species
UACGGGGGGGGCAAGCGUUGUUCGGAAUUACUGGGCGUAAAGGGCUCGUAGGCGGCCAACUAAGUCAGACGUGAAACCCCUCGGCUUAACCGGGGAACUGCAUCUGAUACUGGAUGGCUUGAGUUCGGGAGAGGGAUGCGGAAUUCCAGGUGUAGCGGUGAAAUGCGUAGAUAUCUGGAGGAACACCGGUGGCGAAGGCGGCAUCCUGGACCGACACUGACGCUGAGGAGCGAAAAGCCAGGGGGAGCAAACGGGGUAGUAA